rnacentral:sRNA from 1 species
AAAAGUCUAGAAUUCGGAAGAACGACUUGGACUGUCCCUGGAUUAACCUUUUUGUGUGUGGAGGCCCUUGUCAUUUGGACGGGCCCUGCUCUAGUGUCUUAGUAUCCCGGCUGUUGCCGGGAUUGGUGUUACUGCAGGUGGGACUCAGUUCCCUGGAAGUUAUCCUGGCUGUUGCUGGGAUGACGUUCCCACGCCCCUUGUUAUUCGGUGGUCCCGUUGGUAACAGACGUGGGCCUACUCCCCUCAAGGAAAACGGAGGGGAGUGUAGUGUUUGUGGACUCGUUCCCCGUACGGUUUACUGUUAGCCCUUGACGUCACUACGCGGGAAUCUGCACAGCGAUGAUUCUACCGCAUGCAGCCAGCGAGUGAAGACGUAGGACAUGUGCUAGACGAUGCGACAGGCAAGUCUAGCGGCAACCCACGGAUUAUAUCAGUGAUAGUGACUGAGAAAUACUAUAGAGUUAUAAAAAAUCUCAAAUAUCGCCAACAUGUGACAUCCAAGAUGUAAGAUACGCUACAAAUUGAUGUCAACAUGCAACCUAAUAUGUAAACGGUGUGACCGUUGGACCGAGCGCAGAUUUAACACAGUGCUGUUUGAUUUUUGUAGAACAAAGUUUAUUUGAAAUACACACAGUAGGAUCCGCUUGGUUGCCUACUCAAAUCGUUUGCCAAAGUGUAACUAAACGUCGCUUGCUCAGUCUACAUGUACAUUAUGACGUCAUGCUUCAGACGUAAAACGUAUACGUUUUGUCUUUGGAAAAUAGCCAAAGAGAGUUACUUUUUUCCGAUUUAUUUUAAAUUUCCUCUUUCAUUGUUUAUCAAUUUAAUUCAUAUAAAUGCCGCGGUAAUAAAAUUGAAUACUUUAUUCAGUAUCUAAAAG